GCGGGCGGCGUGGACGCGAGAGCGUGGGAGCGGACGGCCUGGACGGGAGAGCUGGGGAGCUGGCGGCCUGGACCAGGGCCCAUGGACUGCUGCCAUUCUUGGUCAUCUUUCUGUCCACACAGUGAACGCUUGGAAGCCCUUGCUCUGCCCCCCAAUUUCAUGAAUCAGAGCAGCUCGCUGGUGAGCGGAGAGCGGAGCAUUUCAAUCCAGGCCCAGUGAGUCCCCGAAGUCCCCGCCGUAACCACUACCCCACACUGCUCUGUGCAAAGUUUGCACACAGACCCAGGCAGCGAAAUUGAGGCCAGAGAGCUCCCUGGCACUGAGUGUUUCUGCCCCUCACUCCACCCCAAGCUUGGUGGCUGGUGUGGCCUCCUGACCCCCACCAGUCACAAAGUAUUAGAAAUAGAAGGGACCAAAGGGAUGGCUUAUCUAGUCCUGGCCUCUCAUAUUCAGAGAUGUAAGCUGUCUUGUUCAUUUAUGCCUGGCAAAAAGCCUUCGUUAACAAAGUCAAAGAGAGGGGCCGAACUGAGGGAAAUGAUUUGAAAUUGAUAUUAGAAAGGGCUCGUUCCCCUCAUAUAUGUAAAGCUCUUAAGAACCAUUAAGAAAACGAUAAAGAACCCAAGAGAAAAAUGAACAGUCUAUGGACAGUGCACAGAAAAUGCAAUGGCUCCUAUAAGCAUAGGAGGUGCUAGUCAACUGUAUUGUUGCAGCCAUGUAUGUAAAGCAAAAUCACAGUGAGAUCAUUUUUAUCAAUUACAUUAGCAAAGAAUUUUCGAAGUUGAAUAGCAUGAUUUUGGAGAGACUGUGGAAAAACAAAUGUUCUCAUCCUUUCCGGGUGGGAGGUUUAACGGGUACAGCCUCCAUCCAGGCCAUUUGUUGAUAUCCACAGAAAUUCUAGAUGCACGUAGCCUUUAGCCCAGCAGUCCCGCCUGCAGUAAUUUAUCCUUCAGCCAGACUCACUUGUAUUGGUAUGUGUUUGAGGUUGAUCUUUUUGGCUUGUGGGACCUUAGUUCCCUGACCAGGGAUUGAACCUGCGCCCUCGGCAGUGAAAGCGCGGGGUCCUAACCACUGGACUGCCAGGGAAGUACCCAUCAGCAGGGCACAUCCUCAGGGAGUGGGGAGGGAGCCUGCAGAGUGUGCAGUGCUGCCGGGGCUCAUUUCGCCGCCCCCCAUGUUUGAUGUUCUGCAGUGGCUUCCCAGUGGCAUUCACAGUAGGUCUGCACCACAGCCUCCUACACCUAGAUCACCUCACCUGUGUCCCCUCACCUCCACCCUGCUAGUGGCCCCCACUCUGCCUCCAGUGGUGAAAUCCCAGCCCGCCGCCAGGCUUCUGUUCCUGCAACACAUUCCCAAGAUCUGCACUCAGUCCCACUAUCUUGGAACACGCUCCCAGGUUCUCCACCACCAUCUCCCCGUCAUUCAGGUCUUUGCCCAAAUGUGCCCCAACUCCCAAGAGCCCCAAACUGACCACGACAGCUAAUGUGCUCCCGCCACCUACACACCCACCCCUCUGGUGACAUCACUCACAAUUCUCAUCCCAGAUGGCUGGUUCUCUGGUCUCUGCACACUAAGUAUCUACUGUCAUAUAGGCACAAAAGCAGGUCAUUUAUAGAAAAAAGUGUCAGGUCAGAGCCAGAGUGGAAGAGCAGACAAGACCUCAACCCCGCUAAAGCCAUUUCUCAUAGCAACACAUGCAGCCCAGGGCUGGGUCCACAUUCCCCAAGGUCAUUGCAUCUUCAAAAGAAAUCUCAGCCUGUUCAUUAUAUUCUGUCUGUGAGGGCUGGAAAUAACUCCUUUUAAGGCAGGUUUGUAGCCAAAAUUCUAAAGUUAAAAAAAAAAAAAGGUUUGUUGCUGAAAGUGUCAAAUUCUUAUUGUUAACAACUAAUGCAACAGGCCUUCACUGAAUUCCAGGCAGAAAAAAAGGAAAACCACCUAUAAAGGAUGUCAUGGAGGCAGUCGGGGAAAUGUGAAUAUAGACUGUGAUACUAGAUAAUAGUAUUGCAUUGAUGUUAAAUUGAAAUUUUUAAACAUUAAUGUUAAAUUCCCCAGACGUGAUCAUUGCAUUGAAUUAUGACAUGAAGAUGUCUGUGUUCUUAGAAAAAGGCUUCUGAAGAAUUUACAGUGAAACAUGAUGUCCUCAAACAAUAAUUGAUCGAUUGACCGAUAGAUGCUGGAUAGAGCAAAUGCCGCAAAACUGGGGAAUCUAGGUGAAGGGUAUGUAGGUCAUUCUGUAGGUUUGGAAUUUUUAAAAAUAAAUUGGGAGAAUUUAAAAAAAUCAUAAAUAGGGAAGAGCCUCCCUUAUUGUCAGUGGAUUUUCCUUCCUGAACAGAGACUAGCUGUGACGUUAAGAUGUCAUCAGUUUACCGCGUGGCCCCAGAUUGGGUGUCAUGCUCUCAGUCCUGACAUUGGCUUGCCUGACGUGUACUUUCCAACUAACUUGUCUCAUCAGCUCUGGUUUUUUGUUAAUUUAGAUAUAAAACUCCUUUGCUAGGGGACAUUAUGGAUGUACAUAUCCUAAGCUUCACUUCUUUACACCACCUUUAGCUUCUACUUUCAUUCUGGCUAAUUCUUCCCAUCCAGAUAAAGAGAGAAGUAAUCAGCAAAUAAUCUCAUUCCUACUGUGUGCAAAGCAGUGCAUCUCACUUUCCAUCAUUCUCACCCACAACAGGGAGCAUUAAAGUUCAGGAGAGACUGCAUAAGGCCACAAGUCCUUGGUCUCUCCAGUUGACACAAGGCAGUAGAGACUUGUGGUCGCAAACAUGGAGUCUCCAGCUGGACAACCUGGCUUCAAAUUCUGGUUCUGCCACUCAUCAGCUGUGUGAUCUUGGGCAAGUCACCUAACCUCCCUGUACCUCAGUUUCCUAAUCUGUAAAGCAGAGAUAGAUCAUAACUCAUGGGGUUGCUUCAAAGAGUAUAAGGAGUCAGUAUCUGUUAAACACUUUGCAAAAUUCCUGGCACAUAGUAAGUGCUCAGUUAGUACUGGCUAUAAUCACUGUGAUCUCGAGUCUUUCUCUCCUGGUAUUUCUCUAAACUACCAAGUAACCCAAGGCAUCUAGGCAAGCAUCCAACUUUAUAAAUAUUGAUGACAUCAAUAUAAUGAAUAGUUUUUUUGUUUUUUGUUUGUUUUGUUUUUUGCAGUACGCAGGCCUCUCACUGCUGUGGCCUCUCCCGUUGUGGAGCACAGGCUCCGGACGCGCAGGCUCAGCGGCCAUGGCUCACGGGCCCAGCCGCUCUGCGGCAUGUGGGAUCUUCCCUGACCGGGGCACGAACCCGUGUCCCCUGCAUCGGCAGGCGGACCCUCAACCACUGCUCCACCAGGGAAGCCCCAAUAAUGAAUAGUUUUGAGUGCCUGGCACAUGCAGGGCACAGCUUGGCGAUUUGCAUUAUGGACAGUCAUGGUUACAGAGCCAAGGUGAGCAGUGGACAAUGGUGAAAGUUGGUGCUUCAGGGGGUCUGGCCUUGGCAGCGUUCUCUUGAGGGCGGGCACCGCGCAAGGUCCUUCGUCCUGGUGGCCAGCCCUCUGUGGUGAGCGAGUUGCAUUUUCUUUUAAUAAACGAUUUAUUGACAUA